rnacentral:rRNA from 1 species
AUUGAACGCUGGCGGCAGGCCUAACACAUGCAAGUCGAGCGAGCGGCGGACGGGUGGGUAAUGUCUGGGAAACUGCCUGAUGGAGGGGGAUAACUACUGGAAACGGUAGCUCAUACCGCAUACCAUCAGAUGUGCCCAGAUGGGAGUAGCUAGUAGGUGGGGUAACGGCUCACCUCGGCGACGAUCCCUCGCUGGUAUGAGAGGAUGACCAGCCACACUGGAACUGAGACACGGCCCAUAGUCCUACGGGAGGCAGCAGGGGGGAAUAUUGCACAAUGGGCGCAAGCCUGAGGCAGCCAUGCCGCGUGUGUGAAGAAGGCCGUCGGGUUGUAAAGCACGUUCAGCGGGGAGGCGUUACCCGCAGAAGAAGCACCGGCUAACUCCGUGCCAGCAGCCGCGGUAAUAC